rnacentral:rRNA from 1 species
UACAGAGGGUGCAAGCGUUGUUCGGAAUUACUGGGCGUAAAGGGCGCGUAGGCGGUUUGGUAAGUCGAUUGUGAAAGCCCGGGGCUCAACCCCGGAAGUGCAGUCGAAACUACCAGGCUAGAGUGCAGUAGAGGAUGGCGGAAUUCCCAGUGGAGAGGUGAAAUUCGUAGAUAUUGGGAGGAACACCGGUGGCGAAGGCGGCCAUCUGGGCUGUAACUGACGCUGAGGCGCGAGAGCGUGGGUAGCAAACAGG